rnacentral:siRNA from 1 species
GAGGAAAUUGCGACGAACAACACU